rnacentral:rRNA from 1 species
AACGAACGCUGGCGGCAGGCUUAACACACGCAAGUCGAACGCCCCGCAAGGGGGGUGGCAGACGGGUGGGUAACGCGUGGGAACGGGCCCUUCGCUUCGGAAUAGCCUCGGGAAACUGGGAGUAAUACCGAACAGGGCGGAGUGGGAUAGAUUUAUCGGCGAAGGAUCGGCCGGCGUUAGAUUAGGUAGUUGGCGGUGUAAUGGACCACCAAGCGUCCGAUCUAUAGCUGGUAUGAGAGGAUGAUCAGGCACACUGGGACGGAGACACGGCCCAGACUCCUACGGGAGGCAGCAGUGGGGAAUCUUGGACAAUGGGCGCAAGCCUGAUCCGGCCAUGCCGCGUGAGUGAAGAAGGCCUUAGGGUUGUAAAACUCUUUCGCCGGAGAAGAUAAUGACGGAAUCCGGAGAAGAAGCCCCGGCUAACUUCGUGCCAGCCGCCGCCGUAACAC